rnacentral:rRNA from 1 species
GAAUGUGGAGCCGUAGCGAAAGCGAGUCUGAAUAGGGCGAAUGAGUAUUUGGUCGUAGACCCGAAACCAGGUGAUCUACCCAUGGUCAGGUUGAAGUUCAGGUAACACUGAAUGGAGGACCGAACCGACUUACGUUGAAAAGUGAGCGGAUGAACUGUGGGUAGCGGAGAAAUUCCAAUCGAACUUGGAGAUAGCUGGUUCUCUCCGAAAUAGCUUUAGGGCUAGCCUCAAGUGAUGAUUAUUGGAGGUAGAGCACUGUUUGGACGAGGGGCCCCUCUCGGGUUACCGAAUUCAGACAAACUCCGAAUGCCAAUCAAUUUAACUUGGGAGUCAGAACGUGGGCGAUAAGGUUCAUGUUCGAAAGGGAAACAGCCCAGACCACCAGCUAAGGUCCCAAAAUAUAUGUUAAGUGGAAAAGGAUGUGGCGUUGCCCAGACAACUAGGAUGUUGGCUUAGAAGCAGCCAUCAUUUAAAGAGUGCGUAAUAGCUCACUAGUCGAGUGACGCUGCGCCGAAAAUGUACCGGGGCUAAACAUAUUACCGAAGCUGUGGAUUGUCCUUCGGACAAUGGUAGGAGAGCGUUCUAAGGGCGUUGAAGCAUGAUCGCAAGGACAUGUGGAGCGCUUAGAAGUGAGAAUGCCGGUGUGAGUAGCGAAAGACGGGUGAGAAUCCCGUCCACCGAUUGACUAAGGUUUCCAGAGGAAGGCUCGUCCGCUCUGGGUUAGUCGGGUCCUAAGCUGAGGCCGAUAGGCGUAGGCGAUGGAUAACAGGUUGAUAUUCCUGUACCACCCACUUUCGUUUUAAGCGAUGGGAGGACGCAGUAGGAUAGGCGAAGCGUGCGAUUGGAUGUACGUUCAAGCAGUAAGGCUGAGUGUUAGGCAAAUCCGGCACUCGUCAGGCUGAGCUGUGAUGAGGAGGGGGAAUUGUUCCCCUGAGUCGCUGAUUUCACACUGCCGAGAAAAGUCUCUAGCUAGAAAAGGGGUGCCCGUACCGCAAACCGACACAGGUAGUCAAGAUGAGAAUUCUAAGGUGAGCGAGCGAACUCUCGUUAAGGAACUCGGCAAAAUGACCCCGUAACUUCGGGAGAAGGGGUGCUCUCUGGGGUGUACGCUCCGGAGAGCCGCAGUGAAUAGGCCCAAGCGACUGUUUAUCAAAAACACAGGUCUCUGCUAAACCGUAAGGUGAUGUAUAGGGGCUGACGCCUGCCCGGUGCUGGAAGGUUAAGAGGAGUGGUUAGCUUCUGCGAAGCCACGAAUCGAAGCCCCAGUAAACGGCGGCCGUAACUAUAACGGUCCUAAGGUAGCGAAAUUCCUUGUCGGGUAAGUUCCGACCCGCACGAAAGGCGUAACGAUUUGGGCACUGUCUCAACGAGAGACUCGGUGAAAUCAUAGUACCUGUGAAGAUGCAGGUUACCCGCGACAGGACGGAAAGACCCCGUGGAGCUUUACUGUAGCCUGAUAUUGAAAUUCGGCACAGCUUGUACAGGAUAGGUAGGAGCCUUAGAAACGUGAGCGCUAGCUUACGUGGAGGCGUUGGUGGGAUACUACCCUCGCUGUGUUGGAUUUCUAACCCGCACCACUGAUCGUGGUGGGAGACAGUGUCAGGUGGGCAGUUUGACUGGGGCGGUCGCCUCCCAAAAGGUAACGGAGGCGCUCAAAGGUUCCCUCAGAAUGGUUGGAAAUCAUUCAUAGAGUGUAAAGGUAUAAGGGAGCUUGACUGCGAGACCUACAAGUCGAGCAGGGUCGAAAGACGGACUUAGUGAUCCGGUGGUUCCGCAUGGAAGGGCCAUCGCUCAACGGAUAAAAGCUACCCCGGGGAUAACAGGCUUAUCUCCCCCAAGAGUUCACAUCGACGGGGAGGUUUGGCACCUCGAUGUCGGCUCAUCGCAUCCUGGGGCUGUAGUCGGUCCCAAGGGUUGGGCUGUUCGCCCAUUAAAGCGGUACGCGAGCUGGGUUCAGAACGUCGUGAGACAGUUCGGUCCCUAUCCGUCGUGGGCGUAGGAAAUUUGAGAGGAGCUGUCCUUAGUACGAGAGGACCGGGAUGGACAUACCUCUGGUGUACCAGUUGUCGUACCAACGGCAUCGCUGGGUGGCUAUGUAUGGACGGGAUAAGUGCUGAAAGCAUCUAAGCAUGAAGCCCCCCUCAAGAUGAGAUUUCCCAACUUCGGUUAUAAGAUCCCUCAAAGAUGAUGAGGUGAAUAGGUUCGAGGUGGAAGCGUGGCGACACGUGGAGCUGACGAAUACUAAUCGAUCGAAGACUUAAUCAA